AUACUUACCUGGCAGGGGAGAUAUCGUGAUCACCAAGGUGGUUUUUCCAGGGUGAGGCUUAUCCAUUGCACUCCGGAUGUGCUGACCCCUGCGAUUUCCCCAAAUGUGGGAAACUUGACUGCAUAAAUUGUAGUAGUGGGGGACUGUGUUCACGCUUUCCCAUA
rnacentral:snRNA from 1 species